rnacentral:rRNA from 1 species
UGAAACACGGAUCAAGGAGUCUAACAUGUGAACAAGCGAUUGAGCUUUUGACUAAGCUCAAACGCAAAAUGAAAGUGAAAUAUCGAGAUUGACCACCUCGAUAUGAGCGGGGAUUGUGCACCUUCUGGUGUACACGCACCCGCGGGCCACAUCAUCGGUUAGCUUGUUCAUUCUUCGGAAUGAACACUGCCGGGGUGUGGACCAAGAGUUGAUACGUUGUGACCCGAAAGAUGGUGAACUAUGCUUGGUCAAGAUGAAGCCAGGGGAAACCCUGGUGGAAGUCUGAAGCGAUUCUGACGUGCAAAUCGAUCGUAUGAAUCGAGUAUAGGAGCGAAAGACUAAUCGAACCAUCUAGUAGCUGGUUCCACCUGAAGUUUCCCUCAGGAUAGCUGGCACUAGAGGAAACGGAAUUUCAUCCGGUAAAGCGAAUGAUUAGAUGAAACGGGUCGUUGAAUGACUCGACCUAUUAUCAAACUUUCAAUGGGUGAGAAGUCUCGCUGUCUUUAUUGCAGUGUUGACUUUGAAUCCGAGUGCCCAGUGGGCCACUUUUGGUAAGCAGAACUGGCGAUGCGGGAUGAACCGCAAGUCGAGUUAAGGUGCCUAAACGGACGCACAUCAGACACCAUGAAAGGUGUUGAUUGCUUAAGACAGCAGGACGGUGGCCAUGGAAGUCGGCAUCCGCUAAGGAGUGUGUA